rnacentral:rRNA from 1 species
GACGAACGCUGGCGGCGUGCUUAACACAUGCAAGUCGAGCGGUAAGGCCCUUUCGGGGGUACACGAGCGGCGAACGGGUGAGUAACACGUGGGUGACCUGCCCUCAGCUCUGGGAUAAGCCUGGGAAACCGGGUCUAAUACCGGAUAUGACUCCAUGACGCAUGUUGUGGGGUGAAAGCCUUGUGCGGCUGGAGGAUGGGCCCGCGGCCUAUCAGCUUGUUGGUGGGGUGAUGGCCUACCAAGGCGACGA